AUUGAACGCUGGCGGCAUGCCUAACACAUGCAAGUCGAGCGGAGCGGCGGACGGGUGGGUAAGGCCUAGGAAUCUGACUGGUAGUGGGGGCUAAGGUCCGGAAACGGGCGCUAAUCCCACAUCCUAUCAGAUGAGACUAGGUCGGAUUAGCUAGUUGGUGUGGUAAAGGCCUACAAAGGCGACGAUCCGUAACUGGCCUGAGAGGCUGAUCAGUCACACUGGAACUGAGACACGGUCCAGACUCCUACGGGAGGCAGCAGUGGGGAAUAUUCGACAAUGGGCGAAAGCCUGAUCCAGCAAUGCCGCGUGUGUGAAGAAGGUCUUCGGAUUGUAAAGCACUUUAAGUUGGGAGGCGUUACCAACAGAAUAAGCACCGGCUAACUUCGUGCCAGCAGCCGCGGUAAUAC
rnacentral:rRNA from 1 species